AACUGAAGUAGAUGGCUACGAAGCCCGCCCUCAUCACAUGGGCGCUAGAGAGACGGGCAGAGCCAAUGGCGCAACCAGCUACUUCCUGA
rnacentral:ncRNA from 1 species